rnacentral:sRNA from 1 species
UGAUGGUUGACAAUGUUGACAUUGAUGAC